rnacentral:rRNA from 1 species
GGUCCUAAGGUAGCGAAAUUCCUUGUCGGGUAAGUUCCGACCUGCACGAAUGGCAUAAUGAUGGCGGCGCUGUCUCCAGCAGAGGCUCAGUGAAAUCGAAAUCGCUGUGAAGAUGCAGUGUACCCGCGGCUAGACGGAAAGACCCCGUGAACCUUUACUGCAGCUUGACACUGAACUUUGACCUUACUUGUGUAGGAUAGGUGGGAGGCUUUGAAGUUGGAACGCUAGUUCCAAUGGAGCCGUCCUUGAAAUACCACCCUGGUAAUGUUGAGGUUCUAACUCUGUCCCGUUAUCCGGGACGAGGACCGUGUCUGGUGGGUAGUUUGACUGGGGCGGUCUCCUCCUAAAGAGUAACGGAGGAGUACGAAGGUGCGCUCAGCGUGGUCGGAAAUCACGCGUAGAGUAUAAAGGCAAAAGCGCGCUUAACUGCGAGACCCACAAGUCGAGCAGGUACGAAAGUAGGUCUUAGUGAUCCGGUGGUUCUGUAUGGAAGGGCCAUCGCUCAACGGAUAAAAGGUACUCUGGGGAUAACAGGCUGAUACCGCCCAAGAGUUCAUAUCGACGGCGGUGUUUGGCACCUCGAUGUCGGCUCAUCUCAUCCUGGGGCUGAAGCAGGUCCCAAGGGUAUGGCUGUUCGCCAUUUAAAGAGGUACGCGAGCUGGGUUUAGAACGUCGUGAGACAGUUCGGUCCCUAUCUACCGUGGGCGCUGGAAAUUUGAGAGGAUCUGCUCCUAGUACGAGAGGACCAGAGUGGACGAACCUCUGGUGUACCGGUUGUGACGCCAGUCGCAUCGCCGGGUAGCUAUGUUCGGAAGGGAUAACCGCUGAAAGCAUCUAAGCGGGAAGCCUACCUCAAGAUAAGAUUUCCCUAGGAAUUUAUUCCUCUAAAGAGCCGUUCGAGACUAGGACGUUGAUAGGUUGGAUGUGGAAGCAUAGUGAUAUGUGAAGCUGACCAAUACUAAUUGCUCGUGAGGCUUGACUAU